UGAGGAAUAUUGGACAAUGGGUGCAAGCCUGAUCCAGCCAUCCCGCGUGUAGGAAGACGGCCCUAUGGGUUGUAAACUACUUUUAUCUGGGGAUAAACCUACUUACGUGUAAGUAGCUGAAGGUACCAGAUGAAUAAGCACCGGCUAACUCCGUGCCAGCAGCCGCGGUAAUACGGAGGGUGCAAGCGUUAUCCGGAUUUAUUGGGUUUAAAGGGUCCGUAGGCGGACUGAUAAGUCAGUGGUGAAAUCCGACAGCUUAACUGUCGAACUGCCAUUGAUACUGUUAGUCUUGAGUAAGGUUGAAGUGGCUGGAAUAAGUAGUGUAGCGGUGAAAUGCAUAGAUAUUACUUAGAACACCAAUUGCGAAGGCAGGUCACUAAGUCUUAACUGACGCUGAUGGACGAAAGCGUGGGGAGCGAACAGG
rnacentral:rRNA from 2 species